UGCCGGUUUGCUCAGCUGGUCAGAGUGUGGUGAUAAUACCACCAAGGUCACGGGUUCAAUCCCCAUAUUGGCGA
rnacentral:tRNA from 1 species